rnacentral:RNase_P_RNA from 1 species
AGAGUCAACUGUGUAAUCGCUUUAUUAGAAAUAAUGAAGAGGAAAGUCUGGGCUCCAAAGAGUAGAGUGCCAGGUAACUCCUGGGAAGUGUGAACUUACGGAAAGUGCAACAGAAAAUAAACCGCAAUUUAAUUGUAAGGGUGAAAUGGUGAGGUAAGAGCUCACCGCAGUAAUAGUAAUAUUACUGGCAUGGCAAACCCCACUCGGAGCAAGGCCAAAUAGAAAAGUAAUAGUGCUACUCGUACUGCUUUUGGGUAGGCUGCUAGAUGUAUUUGGCGACAAAUACACAAGAUUAAUGAUUGCAUGCAACAGAACCCAGCUUAUAGGUUGACUCACCUU